GCAUUGCUGAGGAGUUCCACAAUAGGACGAAACGGCCGUCCAAUGC
rfam:Schistosoma mansoni, Puerto Rico, WGS project CABG01000000 data, contig: 0080